CCCUUAGAUGUUCUGGGCCGCACGCGCGCUACACUGAUGCAUUCAACGAGUCUAAAACCUGCUCUGAUAGGGGUGGGUAAUCUUUUUAAUGUGCAUCGUGAUUGGGAUAGAUGAUUGCAAUUUUUCAUCUUCAACGAGGAAUGCCUAGUAAACGCAAGUCAUCAGCUUGCAUUGAUUACGUCCCUGCCCUUUGUACACACCGCCCGUCGCUCCUACCGAUUGAAUGAUCCGAUGAAUAUCAUGGAUUGAGGAUGCAAGCAGGUUCGCCUGUCUUCAUCUUCGAGAAGUGAAGUAAAUCUUAUCAUUUAGAGGAAGGAGAAGUCGUAACA
rnacentral:rRNA from 1 species